ACAUAGGAGGCAAGCGUUAUCCGGAUUUACUGGGCGUAAAGAGCGUUGAGGCGGUUCUGUAAGUUGGACGUGAAAGCCCCCGGCUCAACUGGGGGGGGUCGCUCAAUACUGCAGAACUUGAGGGCAGCAGAGGGGGGUGGAAUUUCCGGUGUAGUGGUGAAAUGCGUAGAUAUCGGAAGGAACACCAGUGGCGAAGGCGGCCCCCUGGGCUGCUCCUGACGCUGAAGGCGAAAGCUAGGGGAGCAAACGGGAUUAGAAACCCCGGUAGUCCUAGCCGUAAACGAUGGAUACUAGGUGUAGAGGGCCAAUAAAUCCCCCUGUGCCGAAGCUAACGCGUUAAGUAUCCCGCCUGGGGACUACGGUCGCAAGACUAAAACUCAAAGGAAUUGACGGGGACCCGCACAAGCAGCGGAGCGUGUGGUUUAAUUCGAUGCAACGCGAAGAACCUUACCAGGGCUUGACAUGCAUGUAGUAGUGAAGCGAAAGCGGAACGAUCCUUCGGGAAGCUUGCACAGGUGCUGCAUGGCUGUCGUCAGCUCGUGCCGUGAGGUGUUAGGUUAAGUCCUGUAACGAGCGCAACCCUCGCCGCUAGUUAUACGUGUCUAGCGGGACUGCCCGGCUCAACUGGGAGGAAGGUGGGGAUGACGUCAAGUCAGCAUGGCCUUUAUGUCCUGGGCGACACACACGCUACAAUGGCCGGUACAAUGGGUAGCCAAGCCGCGAGGCGGAGCCAAUCCUGCAAAGCCGGUCUCAGUUCGGAUUGUAGGCUGCAACUCGCCUGCAUGAAGUUGGAGUUGCUAG
rnacentral:rRNA from 1 species